GGGGAUAUAGCUCAAUUUGGAGAGUGNGGCGUUCGCAAUGCCAAGGUUGGGGGUUCGAUNCCCCCUNUCUCCA
rnacentral:tRNA from 1 species